AUUGAACGCUGGCGGCAUGCCUUACACAUGCAAGUCGAACGGCAGCACGGGAGCAAUCCUGGUGGCGAGUGGCGAACGGGUGAGUAAAGUAUCGGAACGUUCCCAGUCGUGGGGGAUAACGUAGCGAAAGUUACGCUAAUACCGCAUACGAUCUAUGGAUGAAAGCGGGGGAUCGCAAGACCUCGCGCGAUUGGAGCGGCCGAUAUCAGAUUAGGUAGUUGGUGAGGUAAAGGCUCACCAAGCCGACGAUCUGUAGCUGGUCUGAGAGGACGACCAGCCACACUGGGACUGAGACACGGCCCAGACUCCUACGGGAGGCAGCAGUGGGGAAUUUUGGACAAUGGGCGCAAGCCUGAUCCAGCCAUGCCGCGUGCAGGAUGAAGGCCUUCGGGUUGUAAACUGCUUUUGUACGGAACGAAAAGGUUUGACUUAAUACGUUGGACUCAUGACGGUACCGUAAGAAUAAGCACCGGCUAACUACGUGCCAGCCGCCGCAGUAA
rnacentral:rRNA from 1 species